CUGCCCUUAACUUCGGGAUAAGCCUGGGAAACCGGGUCUAAUACCGGAUACGACGGAUUCCCGCAUGGGGGUCCGUGGAAAGCUUGAUGCGGUUUUGGAUGGACUCGCGGCCUAUCAGCUAGUUGGUUGGGGUAAUGGCCCACCAAGGCGACGACGGGUAGCCGGCCUGAGAGGGUGACCGGCCACACUGGGACUGAGACACGGCCCAGACUCCUACGGGAGGCAGCAGUGGGGAAUAUUGCACAAUGGGCGAAAGCCUGAUGCAGCGACGCCGCGUGAGGGACGAAGGCCUUCGGGUUGUAACCUCUUUCAGCAGGGAAGAAGCGAAAGUGACGGUACCUGCAGAAGAAGCGCCGGCUAACUACGUGCCAGCAGCCGCGGUAAUACGUAGGGCGCAAGCGUUAUCCGGAAUUAUUGGGCGUAAAGAGCUCGUAGGCGGUUUGUCGCGUCUGCUGUGAAAGCCCGGGGCUCAACCCCGGGUCUGCAGUGGGUACGGGCAGACUAGAGUGCAGUAGGGGAGACUGGAAUUCCUGGUGUAGCGGUGAAAUGCGCAGAUAUCAGGAGGAACACCGAUGGCGAAGGCAGGUCUCUGGGCUGUAACUGACGCUGAGGAGCGAAAGCAUGGGGAGCGAACAGGAUUAGAUACCCUGGUAGUCCAUGCCGUAAACGUUGGGCACUAGGUGUGGGGGACAUUCCACGUUUUCCGCGCCGUAGCUAACGCAUUAAGUGCCCCGCCUGGGGAGUACGGCCGCAAGGCUAAAACUCAAAGGAAUUGACGGGGGCCCGCACAAGCGGCGGAGCAUGCGGAUUAAUUCGAUGCAACGCGAAGAACCUUACCAAGGCUUGACAUGAACCGGAAAGGCCUGGAAACAGGUCCCCCACUUGUGGCCGGUUUACAGGUGGUGCAUGGUUGUCGUCAGCUCGUGUCGUGAGAUGUUGGGUUAAGUCCCGCAACGAGCGCAACCCUCGUUCUAUGUUGCCAGCGGGUUAUGCCGGGGACUCAUAGGAGACUGCCGGGGUCAACUCGGAGGAAGGUGGGGGCGACGUCAAAUCAUCAUGCCCCUUAUGUCUUGGGCUUCACGCAUGCUACAAUGGCCGGUACAAAGGGUUGCGAUACUGUGAGGUGGAGCUAAUCCCAAAAAGCCGGUCUCAGUUCGGAUUGAGGUCUGCAACUCGACCUCAUGAAGUUGGAGUCGCUAGUAAUCGCAGAUCAGCAACGCUGCGGUGAAUACGUUCCCGGGCCUUGCACUCACCGCCCGUCAAG
rnacentral:rRNA from 1 species